rnacentral:rRNA from 1 species
GGCGUGCUUACACAUGCAGUCGAACGGAAAGGCCCUGCUUUUGUGGGGUGCUCGAGUGGCGAACGGGUGAGUAACACGUGAGUAACCUGCCCUUGACUUUGGGAUAACUUCAGGAAACUGGGGCUAAUACCGGAUAGGAGCUCCUGCUGCAUGGUGGGGGUUGGAAAGUUUCGGCGGUUGGGGGUGGACUCGCGGCUUAUCAGCUUGUUGGUGGGGUAGUGGCUUACCAAGGCUUUGACGGGUAGCCGGCCUGAGAGGGUGACCGGCCACAUUGGGACUGAGAUACGGCCCAGACUCCUACGGGAGGCAGCAGUGGGGAAUAUUGCACAAUGGGCGGAAGCCUGAUGCAGCAACGCCGCGUGCGGGAUGACGGCCUUCGGGUUGUAAACCGCUUUCGCCUGUGACGAAGCGUGAGUGACGGUAAUGGGUAAAGAAGCACCGGCUAACUACGUGCCAGCAGCCGCGGUGAU